rnacentral:lncRNA from 1 species
AGAAAUGCUCCACUCCAGGCAGCCAAACCCAGGAUCCAUCUGGUAGACAUGUUAGUCAGUGACCCCAACAGCUCAGCACAUUUCUACCUAUUGAGAUAGAGUAAAAAUGACUCCUACAGCCCUAAAGUUCAGUUUUAUAACACAGAGGAUGAUGUAAUUGAAACCAAGCCCCCAAAGCCACACUGGUAUGGAGGAUGAAAGUGCAACCAUGGAGGAAAGGCAAACAACAAACAGAGAAUUCUCAUGGAAUAUCUGCAUGAAGGGAUGUGGAGUGGGCAUGAAGGAUGAAGAAGGGAAAUUCAACAACAAAAUGCCAUUCAUUUUAGGCUAAACUUUUGUGACAUUAAAUGAUGAUUUUGAUGAAUUCUUUCUGACUUGU